UACGGAGGGUGCGAGCGUUGUUCGGAAUCACUGGGCGUAAAGCGCGUGUAGGCGGCUUCUUAAGUCUGGUGUGAAAGCCCGGGGCUUACCCCCGGAAGGGCACUGGAGACUGGGAAGCUAGAGUACCGGAGAGGAGGGUGGAAUUCCUGGUGUAGCGGUGAAAUGCGUAGAUAUCAGGAGGAACACCGGUGGCGAAGGCGGCCCUCUGGACAGUUCCUGACACUGAGGCACGAAGGCCAGGGGAGCAAACGGG
rnacentral:rRNA from 1 species